ACAGUAAGAUGCUUGAAAAAUUCGCCCCGUUUGAUGGCCAGAGGCACAAAAAAUGCAGCGGCACCGAGCCUGAUUCUGGGACAUGCUGCUGGUGGAUAACGUAGGAUAAUGUAGGCCUUCUUCCGAAAGAUGACUUCAUUCCUACGAAAAAGGUAACAGAAUCCGGUACCAGAUCCGGAAGGUCCAAGCUGUUGGGGUCCCUUGACUGUCAAGUGAAGCGCUGAUGGCACCCACCCACCAGUACCGUUAUCAAGAUGUAAAAAGGCUACUAUCCCGAAAGAUAGUUGGUAAGUAUACUUUGUAUAAAAAUUAGCCCGUUGGGGCCCGAGAGGGCUAAGUACAUUUAUGAUUUGAAAAAAAAAAUCCACUAAAUUCCACCACCAAUUCCAACAGAUUUAGUAAUAUCCACGAUCCGGGAAAUGUUGAUUCAAUCUAGAAUCAAAGCUGAAUGGUAACCUGGCGCAAACUUCCAAUCGAGAUGGUGCGGAUUAAACCAGAUUCCAAAAAGGGUCCCAGUGUAACCACACAGAUGGAGUAACCAGCCGAAACUGGCGAUGAUUCAUAUCUGCAGAACGUGGAGUCUAAUACGUUUCCUAGUUAGAAUCUCGUGGUCAAACGGGUUCCAAACUGAAAGCGUGACAAACUCGACGGAAGCGGAAAUGAGCAGCUAUCCAAACUACUCCAGGUCAACAACAGAAAACAGAUGCUAUCAAAGAAAACCACAACAACAUCGAAUUUUGAUAGGUGAAAAUAGUGGUGCUAUUAUUAUAAAAGUCAGAAAUAUAAAAUAGUGAACCAAUAUGAAUAUUUAUUUUUCAUUUUAUAGAUGAAAACACAUAAAUUAAAAAUUAUAUUUAACUGAAAUUUUAGUAAACGAACAAAUGUUGAAAUGCUAGAAUUUUAGCAAACAAAUUUUUUUUUUUUUGCUAUAAAAUUAGUAAACAUUGAGU